rnacentral:rRNA from 1 species
UUAGGAAUAUUCGUCAAUGGGGGGAACCCUGAACGAGCAAUGCCGCGUGUGCGAAGAAGGCCCUAUGGGUUGUAAAGCACUGUUGUAUGGAAAGAAAGAUAGAGAUAGGAAAUGAUUUGUAUUUGACGGUACCAUACGAGAAAGCCACGGCUAACUACGUGCCAGCAGCCGCGGUAAUACGUAGGUGGCGAGCGUUAUCCGGAAUUAUUGGGCGUAAAGCGUGCGCAGGCGGUUUAUUAAGUCUAAAAUAAAAGCCCGAAGCUUAACUUCGGUUCGUUUUAGAAACUGAUAGACUAGAGUGCGGUAGAGGCAAAUGGAAUUUCUAGUGUAGCGGUAGAAUGCGUAGAUAUUAGAAGGAACACCAGUGGCGAAGGCGAUUUGCUGGGCCGCAACUGACGCUCAUGCACGAAAGCGUGGGGAGCAAAUAGG